CGGGCACUGCCCUUCCCGUGUAGGGAUAAAUUCCAGUGGCCUUAAGCAAAUCCGAGGGGGCUGGCUCUGGCAGGGCCGUGGUUCUGCUACCUGGUUCCCACCUGUACAUACAGGUCCUCGGGAAUUUUGCACUCCCCACGUUUGUGGUGGUCCCGCC
rnacentral:misc_RNA from 1 species